AUGAAUCCUGCAUCUACAGACCAGAGAGAUCAGAAAGUAAAACUGACCUGUGAGACUUCCUGUGAUUUGACGUCCAGACCUCAGAAUUACUACUGGAAAAAAAAAGGACAAUAUGUAGAAGAUCUUGGUCAUUCCAGGAGCAUUGAAGUUUCACCGGAGGCUGCUGACAGUUACUCAUGUUUUCUUAUUGAAGAUCUUAAGAACUCCUCCUCUCCUGUGUGCAUUUCUAAGAGUGGCUGCUGGGAUGUGACUUACACCUCUAGAAGAGUCUGUGCUUUGGUCGGCUCAACAGUAGACAUUUCCUGCACAUAUUCACUUCCCUCUGGUUAUACUGUAAAUAAAACAUUCUGGCACUACCCAUCUGGGGGCUUCAAGGAUCUGCGUGAGGAGCAUCAGUUUGCUGGUCGUGUGGAGUAUGUGGGGAACAAACUGAGAAUCAAAGAGCUCAAGAUCAGUGACUCUGGAGAAUAUCAAUUCAGGUUCAUUUUAUAACUUCUAAUAGUUUUUUUUUCUUCUCUCUCUCUCUCAGAUACGCAGGUGUAAAGCAGCCCAUCUGUUGUAUCAGAGGGACAGGAAGUGACAUUAAUCUGUUCAACUAAAUGCACUCUAAAUGACAAACAUACUUACAUCUGGUACAAGAACGGACGACAGGUAACAGAUGGAUUCACUAAAGACAACAAGCUGUACCUGGACUCAGUCAGCAAUGAAGAGCUUCACCAGUAUUCCUGUGCUGUAGAAGGUAACACAUCUCUCAUGAUACAUGUGCUUUGAUGAGUUCAGGUGGUUUCUCUGAUAGUCAUAAUUCACUUCUUUGUGUUGUGAAGAUCCAGUGGACAGCACAGCGUUCAGUCAUUAUACAGUCACUCUGCUGGUGUUUUUACCUCAGUUUCUCAUAAUAGCGGCUCUGUGGAUGUGGUGAGUAAAAUAUGUAAUUGCAUGAUGAAUAAUUAAAUGAAUUCAGGUUAUAAGAGUGUCCAUUAUGAUACAUAAGGUUUUUCAUCAGAAUGCAUCUCAAUUUAAAAACUAAACUAG
rnacentral:lncRNA from 1 species